AAGUAGUAGCCGCUUCUUCUUCUUAGCCCUAAAUCAUUUCCGCUUCUUCUUCAUCCUCAGCCGCUUCAUCUUCAUCCUCAACCUCAGGCGGCCUCAGCCCUAAAUCUAUGGGACGUCGAGCUUCAAGUAGUAGUCGCCGCCGCCCUCCGUUCCCAUGAAAAGGGUAUUCGCCAUCACCUCUUGGACAAUUCUUUUCUUCUUCAUCAUCUCCCACUCCUCAAGAAGGCGUUUUCAUCUUAUGAGAAUUCUUCUUCUCAAGGUAGAACACAACUAGAUGACUACUUAGGUGAGCAUAAAUUGGAUCCUUUGUCGGAUUUGGAUGUUCUUGGUUGGUGGAAGGAUAAUGCUAAAAGGUUUCCACAAGUUGCAAGUAUGGCAAGAGAUUUGUUAAGUAUUCCAAUUACUACUGUUGCUUCCGAGUCGAGUUUUAGCUUGAGAAGUAGGAUACUAACAAAAUGGAGAGCUUCCUUACUACCGUCUACCGGAGAGUGCCGAGACUUUGGUCACAACCCGAAGUUGGCUAUAUAAAUAUGAUGUUGAAAAAGAUAACAAUUCUCUUGAAGACGGUGUUGAAAUUCCGAUUUUGCGGGAUCCAAACAAAGAACCUCAAGUUAUCGGCGUAGAAGAAAGCGGAGUUGAAAUUCUUGAAGAUGAUGAUUUUUAGUAAAUGUUGUCUUAGAUUAUUAAAUAGUAGACUAUGAACAAGUUUAUUAAAUUCUAAUUGUCAUACUUUGUUGAAGUAAUUUUAUUUUCUGUUUCAUGCAACUUUUGAUAUGUACUCUAUAUAAAUUACAAUUUUAUCGUAAUAGGUACAUAUUAAUAUAUUA